CACGAACCAUUUUGCUCAAAAUUGGAAAUGCAACGCUCCGCCUCCUCCACCAUGCUAAUAAAUCUUCAUUGCCAUCUUUGUCUUCCACUGUUUCUAAAGAUUGAUUAAGAUAUUCUUCAAAAUCAUCACGGUUAGUAGAAUUAAGACCAAGAAAACCUCGCAUAUAACUUGAAAUUCGAGUUUUACUCUGAGGAUUAGAAGUUUGACCAACUUCUCCU
rnacentral:lncRNA from 1 species